UUGGCCUCCUCCUCCGCCUGGGAAUGGACACCACGUGGCAUUACAAUGAUUUACUAUAAUGUAUACGGAAUAUAAAGCAUACGUAUACGGAUAAUAAGGCUUUUGGACACUGAUCUUGGAAGCUACGCAGGGUCAGGCAUGGGUCCUGACCUGGAAGUGCUGGAUGUUCUCUUUCUGCUUGGACAGCCACUCCUGCUUCUCUUUCUUGGGAGUUGACUGGUUCUCACUCAGUUCCUGCCACACAGGAAGCUGCUGAGCUCCUUCUUCUGCUGCACCUGGAUGUGCUGCUGGAACUUCUUCUCAUCGUUGGUAAACGUCUUCAGCUAAAUCAAACACGAACAUUAAGGCCGCCUGGUGUUUUUUGAGCAGCUUCUCCAUCUCCUGGGUGAAGUUGUUCCUCUGACUCUCCAGCUCUUUGUCCAGCCUCAGCCUGUGCUCAUCCAUCUCCCCUUUCAGCUUGUUCUCCAGGGCCAUCAGGUGCUUCUGAUGUUGCCGUCUCAUGCGUUUGUAUCCCGACAUCUGCUCCCGCAGCUCCGAGUCCUGCUCAUGUUCCUGCAUCUCACGGGU